UGGGGAAUAUUGCACAAUGGGCGCAAGCCUGAUGCAGCCAUGCCGCGUGUGUGAAGAAGGCCUUCGGGUUGUAAAGCACUUUCAGCGAGGAGGAAGGGUAGUGUGUUAAUAGCACAUUGCAUUGACGUUACUCGCAGAAGAAGCACCGGCUAACUCCGUGCCAGCAGCCGCGGUAAUACGGAGGGUGCAAGCGUUAAUCGGAAUUACUGGGCGUAAAGCGCACGCAGGCGGUUUGUUAAGUCAGAUGUGAAAUCCCCGCGCUUAACGUGGGAACUGCAUUUGAAACUGGCAAGCUAGAGUCUUGUAGAGGGGGGUAGAAUUCCAGGUGUAGCGGUGAAAUGCGUAGAGAUCUGGAGGAAUACCGGUGGCGAAGGCGGCCCCCCUGGACAAAGACUGACGCUCAGGUGCGAAAAGCGUGGGGAGCAAAACAGGAUUAGAUACCCUGGUAGUCCACGCUGUAAACGAUGUCGACUUGGAGGUUGUGCCCUUGAGGCGUGGCUUCCGGAGCUAACGCGUUAAGUCGACCGCCUGGGGGAGUA
rnacentral:rRNA from 1 species